UACAGAGGUCUCAAGCGUUGUUCGGAUUCAUUGGGCGUAAAGGGUGCGUAGGCGGCGCGGUAAGUCGGGUGUGAAAUCUCGGAGCUUAACUCCGAAACUGCAUUCGAUACUGCCGUGCUUGAGGACUGGAGAGGAGACUGGAAUUUACGGUGUAGCGGUGAAAUGCGUAGAUAUCUGGAGGAACACCGGUGGCGAAGGCGGCAUCCUGGACCGACACUGACGCUGAGGAGCGAAAGCCAGGGGAGCAAAGCGGG
rnacentral:rRNA from 1 species